rnacentral:rRNA from 1 species
UGGGGAAUAUUGGACAAUGGGCGAAAGCCUGAUCCAGCCAUGCCGCGUGUGUGAAGAAGGUCUUCGGAUUGUAAAGCACUUUAAGUUGGGAGGAAGGGCAUUAACCUAAUACGUUAGUGUUUUGACGUUACCGACAGAAUAAGCACCGGCUAACUCUGUGCCAGCAGCCGCGGUAAUACAGAGGGUGCAAGCGUUAAUCGGAAUUACUGGGCGUAAAGCGCGCGUAGGUGGUUUGUUAAGUUGGAUGUGAAAUCCCCGGGCUCAAUCUGUGAACUGCAUUCAAAACUGACUGACUAGAGUAUGGUAGAGGGUGGUGGAAUUUCCUGUGUAGCGGUGAAAUGCGUAGAUAUAGGAAGGAACACCAGUGGCGAAGGCGACCACCUGGACUAAUACUGACACUGAGGUGCGAAAGCGUGGGGAGCAAACA